rnacentral:rRNA from 1 species
UAGAGUUUGAUCCUGGCUCAGGAUGAACGCUAGCGGCAGGCUUAACACAUGCAAGUCGAGGGGCAUCGGGAGGAAAGCUUGCUUUCCUUGCCGGCGACCGGCGCACGGGUGAGUAACACGUAUGCAACCUGCCCUCUUCAGGGGGACAACCUUCCGAAAGGGAGGCUAAUCCCGCGUAUAUCGGUUUCGGGCAUCCGAGAUCGAGGAAAGAUUCAUCGGAAGAGGAUGGGCAUGCGGCGCAUUAGCUUGACGGCGGGGUAACGGCCCACCGUGGCGACGAUGCGUAGGGGUUCUGAGAGGAAGGUCCCCCACACUGGUACUGAGACACGGACCAGACUCCUACGGGAGGCAGCAGUGAGGAAUAUUGGUCAAUGGGAGAGAUCCUGAACCAGCCAAGCCGCGUGAGGGAAGACGGCCCUAUGGGUUGUAAACCUCUUUUGUCGGAGAACAAAACCCGGGACGUGUCCCGGACUGCGUGUAUCCGAAGAAAAAGCAUCGGCUAACUCCGUGCCAGCAGCCGCGGUAAUACGGAGGAUGCGAGCGUUAUCCGGAUUUAUUGGGUUUAAAGGGUGCGUAGGCGGUCCGUUAAGUCAGCGGUAAAAUUGCGGGGCUCAACCCCGUCGAGCCGUUGAAACUGGCAGACUUGAGUUGGCGAGAAGUACGCGGAAUGCGCGGUGUAGCGGUGAAAUGCAUAGAUAUCGCGCAGAACUCCGAUUGCGAAGGCAGCGUACCGGCGCCACACUGACGCUGAGGCACGAAAGCGUGGGGAUCGAACAGGAUUAGAUACCC